ensembl:lncRNA
CAGAAGAAGCGCAGCCGCCCUUCAGAUGGGACCACCGACAGUCAGAGCUUCAACCUCAGUGACCGUCAGUCGAUGGGAACGGUGCAGGGGGGCUCCAACCCUGAGCACCAACCACGUGUGUGACUUUUCUUCCUGACACUGCGGUCACAUGGCAGCCAUCACAUUACAGUGGUUGGAAGCGUCACUGUUUGCAGGGGGGUUUCUUCGUGCAUUUCUGGAGGAUGUUCUAUAGAGCCGCAGUUCCCACCUUCAGGGAAGGCCAUCCUGGCGCUGGGGAUGGGAUCGAGGUGUGCAUCCCGUAUGUGCAUGGCCCAGAGCACAGCACCGCCCGCAGGGACAGGCACAGCCCUGAGCGCACCCUGACGUCUCAGGCAGACCUUACAAAGGGAGUAAUUCCAAUGGCUCUCAGCACUGUGCAAAAAAGCUGCAGCUCUCCUGGAGCAUCACAGCCUCCCCCCAUCCCACAGCCCCUUCCUGCCCCUCCUGCAGCCCGGCUCACCCGCGCCUUUCCCUGGGGAGGGACAGCUUUGGUUUUCAAUCACUCUUUCGAAAUGAUGGCUGUUUUUUCCCAUGUAUGGAUGAAACCAACGUCUUCCCACAGAAAAUGGGGACUCGGACAAAGCCACCUUUUCCAGAGGGGAUUUUUUUUUUUUUUUUUUAAUGAAAAAGCAAAAAUCCCAACCAGUGCAGAGCGUGGGAAUGGGCAGUGCUGUUCCUGAGCUGCCUUCUGCACUCACGGGCUGAGCCAGGGACACUGCAGCACGGCUGGUCGGCAAAAGAUUGUUUUCACUUUUUGUUGUUGUUGCCGUUAUCUCAGCAGAAGAAACAGCUCUGAGAGUUUGGGAACUGCAUGGGGCAAAUGCUUUGGUUUUAAACGGAUCUUAGUGCUGCAAAUUCAAUAGGACUUCAGGAAUCAGAUCCAGCUCCACCCUGCCCUCCCAGCACUGAGCCUUUCUGCAGCAUUCCCGGCUCUGCUCGCUGAAAGGUGCAAACUCUGACUUCAGACUAUCCAAACUUCAAACUUCACAGCAGUGUGUUUUAUCUGCAUGUCCCAGCCAACCCUUUCCCCUCUGCAUGGCAGAGCACCUGCUCUCAGCUCGGGUCUUUGAAUGACAGUUCUGCUGGACCAGAGAAGCAGGAACAAUUCCUGCCUUGUGCUACAGGAUGUGAUUGGGCUGGAAAAGCACAGCUGAGACCACUGUGGUGAUGGGUGGAUGGGGCAAAGCCGACAGGUGGGCACCCACUGGUGGUGUUAUCAUGCAGGAUGAUGCCAUGAGCACACAUCCACUCCAGACAAAGCAGGAGGACUCAGUGUCCCUGACCACAGUGCCAGGGCAGGGCAGAGCUAAAUACAAGCUGGGGAGGACACAGAGCAGUUCAGGGAGGAGCAGGAGGGCUGUGUGCUUCCCUUCUGGUCCCUAAGCCCUGUUCUGGAUUAUUGCUCUGCAAACAGUGGGUUGGAGAGCUCCCUCGUCCUCCUGUGCCGGGGCAGGAUGGCUGGCAGUGGGCUUCCUACACACAAAGAAAUACUGAAUAUCACCCCACUUACAGUAAUGUAACAGUGGCAUGAAGCUGGACUUCUAUUUACCUUUUCCAGGAUAGACUUGACUGUAAAUGCCCAAACACGUUUCUAUAUUCACUGGUCUGUGCAAUUCAGAGCUGCCUGAGCUGCCCCGCUGGCUCUGCUCUCUCUGCAGCACAGUUCAGCUGCAGAACCACCCGGUGCUCAGCACAGUGCCCCCACCUCCUGCAGCUCCCGGAGAUGCCCAUCUGCUCUCCAGCCCUGGCUGAGCUGGCGAUGGCAGCGUGGGACUGGAGUGGAAUCAAAACUGCAUUUUAAUUGUAAACAUUUGUCCAGAAAUUAAUGUUUCUGAACUAAUGCUUCCCUCCGACCACAGCAUUCCGAAACAAAUGAUUCUUGCUAAUUGACUUUUCCCCACGGAGCGGGUGAUGUAUGUGGAGGAAGCCAUCCCCGUGCCAUUGCCAAGGCCCCUUCCAGCAGCUGUCAGCACACCGAGGGGCACCCGCCCGUCCUCGGGCAGUUCCCACCCAGGAGCUGCAUGGCUGCAUGGGGAGGAGGGUUCUGUUUCCUCCCCUCUGUUUGCCGAGCUGAAUUUUGUUGUCGUCAAGGUUGGUUCGAAAGGAAUUUUGCAUCAGAGCUUCUCCCGAGGAUCCGAUAAUCCACUUUUAUUUUGAUGCUUUUUAAUAAAGCUGUGUAACAAAGGGGUCCCUCAUUGCAGCGAUGCUGACUGCAAUGCGCUCGCAAUACUUCAUGGCCCUGCUAAUGGAAGAUUAGAAUUUUGCCUUAAUUAUAUCAUU